rnacentral:siRNA from 1 species
UGGCAUGUCCAAGGUUUCAAAGUC